CACACCACAAAGGCCGCGAUGCUCACACUGUACAGGACGCCUUUGCGCGUCCUCCUCCGUGAGCGGGCUAAGGUCUGAGCGUUCGAGUCGGCGCUUGUGCGGUUCUAGCAGGACCCGGUUGGUGACAACCGCGCACGACUACCAGAAAAGAGCCAUUUACGCGUCGCCCUGAACGAGCUUUGGGUGCGUAUGCUUCCCCCUCCGACCGCGGCGCCUCCCAGGCGGCGCUGCCGAAAGACGAGGAUGGGCUUGGAACGUCGUUGGGGCACCUUGUUGCAUCGGCAGGGUGGGUCUGUCCGCUCUCCGCCACCCAGGUUUCAUCGCGUCCCGCGAGUGGCCGCCUUUGUGCGCGCCACCUCGCUCGGUUGUCGCACUCCGACCGAGACGUAGGAGGACCCUGGGUAGGAGUUUGGGCGGCCUGUCCUUUAGUGCACUUCGCGGCCCGCGGGGCUUCGUUGCCUCGCGGAACUCGAUUCAGACUAUUCUUGUGCUGUG
rnacentral:RNase_P_RNA from 1 species